AACGAACGUUAGCGGCGCGCUUAACACAUGCAAGUCGAACGAGAAAGCCCCUUCGGGGGUGAGUAAAGUGGCGCACGGGUGAGUAUCACGUGGGUCAUCUACCCUUUGGCGGGGGACAACAUUCCGAAAGGAGUGCUAAUACCGCAUAAGUCCACGCAAGUGGGGAAAGGCGGCGAAAGCUGUCACCAAAGGAUGAGCCCGCGGCCCAUCAGCUAGUUGGUAGGGUAAUGGCCUACCAAGGCUAAGACGGGUAGCUGGUCUGAGAGGAUGAUCAGCCACACUGGAACUGAGACACGGUCCAGACUCCUACGGGAGGCAG
rnacentral:rRNA from 1 species